UCCGGUUGAUCCUGCCGGACCUGACUGCUAUUGGGGUAAGGCUAAGCCAUGGGAGCCGAACGCCCUAUCACUAUAGGGCGUGACGCACGGCUGAGUAACACGUAGCUAACCUACCCUCGGGACUGGGAUAACUCCGGGAAACUGGAGCUAAACCCGGAUAGGUGAGGAGUCCUGGAAUGGUUCCUCACUUAAAGAGAUCUUAGGGGGUUACUGCCUAAGAUCUGCCCGAGGAUGGGGCUACGGCCCAUCAUGGUAGUUGGCGGGGUAAUGGCCCGCCAAGCCUACGACGGGUAGGGGCCCUGGGAGGGGGAGCCCCCAGAUGGACCCUGAGACAAGGGUCCAGGCCCUACGGGGCGCACCAGGCGCGAAACCUCUGCAAUGCGGGAAACCGUGACAGGGUUACCCCAAGUGCUCCCGUUAAGGGAGCUUUUCCUCGCUGUAAGGGGGCGAGGGAAUAAGCGGGGGGCAAGACUGGUGUCAGCCGCCGCGGUAAUACCAGCCCCGCGAGUGGUCAGGACGAUUACUGGGCCUAAAGCGCCCGUAGCCGGUCUAGCAAGUCCUCUCUGAAAGCUCCGGGCCUAACCCGGAGAGCGGAGAGGAUACUGCUAGGCUAGGGGGCGGGAAAGGCCGGGGGUACUCCUAGGGUAGGGGCGAAAUCCGAUAAUCCUAGGAGGACCACCAGUGGCGAAGGCGCCCGGCUGGAACGCGCCCGACGGUGAGGGGCGAAAGCUGGGGGAGCGAACCGGAUUAGAUACCCGGGUAGUCCCAGCUGUAAACGAUGCAGGCUAGGUGUUAGAUGGGCGUUAGUGCCCAUCUAGUGCCGCAGGGAAGCCGUUAAGCCUGCCGCCUGGGGAGUACGGCCACAAGGCUGAAACUUAAAGGAAUUGGCGGGGGGGCACACAAGGGGUGGAGCCUGCGGCUCAAUUGGAGUCAACGCCGGGAACCUCCACCGGGAGCGACAGCAGGAUGACGGCCAGGCUAACGACCUUGCCUGACACGCUGAGGGGAGGUGCACGGCCGUCGCCAGCUCGUGCUGUGAAGUGUCCUGUUAAGUCAGGCAACGAGCGAGACCCCCGCUCUUAGUUGCUAUCCCAUAGGAGACUAUGGGGGCACACUAAGAGGACUGCCGCCGCUAAGACGGAGGAAGGAGGGGGCCACGGCAGGUCAGCAUGCCCCUAAACUCCCGGGCUGCACGCGGGCUACAAUGACGGGGACAGCGGGUUCCGACCCCGAAAGGGGAAGGCAAUCCCUGAAACCCCGCCGUAGUUGGGAUUGAGGGCUGCAACUCGCCCUCAUGAACCUGGAAUCCCUAGUAACCGCGCGUCAUCAUCGCGCGGUGAAUACGUCCCUGCCCCUUGUACACACUGCCCGUCGCUCCAUCCGAGAGAGGGGAAGGUGAGGCCCCUUCCUCCAAGGAAGAGGUCGAACCUUCCCCUCUCGAGGAGGGAGAAGUCGUAACAAGGUAGCCGUAGGGGAACCUGCGGCUG
rnacentral:rRNA from 1 species